UAAAGUUUUAUUUUGGCUUUAAAAUUAAUUAUUAUAAUUUGUUAUAUGUAAAUCAUAUUCAAUAAGAAUUUACAGUGAUUAAAUUUAAAUUUUAAAGUAAUUUAGAAUUAGGAAAUAUAUUGAGUAUUAACAAAAUUUGUGCCAGCAGUUGCGGUUAUACAAAUAAUACAAUUUAAUUUUAUUAAUAUUAAUUAAUUUAAUUUAUAAUUUUAAUAAAAAAUUUAUUAAGUGAAAUUUUAAAUUUUAAGAAAAUUUUUAAAUAUAAAUGAAGUUAGGAAGAUUUUAUAAUAAACUAGGAUUAGAUACCCUAUUAUAAUAAAAGUAAUUUUUUUAUUAAAUUAGUAUUAGUUAUUUUCUUUAAAGUUAAAAAUUUUGGCGGUAUUUUAGUCUUUUCAGAGGAACCUGUUCUGUAAAUGAUAAUCCACGAUUUAAUUUACUUUUUUUUUUAGUUUAUAUAUCAUCGUAAUAAAAUAUUUUUUUAGAAUUUUAAUAUUUAAGAUUUUUUAUUAAAAAAUUAAUCAGAUCAAGGUGUAGCUGAUAAAAAUGAAGAAAUGGGUUACAUUUAAUAUAUUAUUGGAUUAUUAAUAGUAUUAUUAAUAUAAAUUUGGAUUUGAAAGUAAAAUUAUUUAAUUAAUUAAUUUGAUUUAGCUCUAAAAUAUGUACAUAUCGCCCGUCGCUUUCAUUUAAUGUGAAAUAAGUCGUAACAAAGUAGAUUUACUGGAAAGUGAAUCUAGAUUCAAG
rnacentral:ncRNA from 1 species